rnacentral:rRNA from 1 species
GGGUCAGUAGGUUGGUCGUGCCACCGGUACGUACUGGUCUCACUGAUUCCUCCUUCCUGAAGAACCGUAAUGCCAUUAAUUUGGUGUUGCGGGGAAACAGGACUGUUACUUUGAAAAAAUUGGGGUGUUUAAAGCAAGCUAACGCUCGAAUACAUUAGCAUGGAAUAAUGAAAUAGGACGAUCGAUCCUAUUUUGUUGGUUUCUAGGAUUGACGUA